CCGCACGGGUGAAUAACACGUAUCCAACCUGCCGUCUACUCUUGGCCAGCCUUCUGAAAGGAAGAUUAAUCCAGGAUGGCAUCAUGAGUUCACAUGUCCGCAUGAUUAAAGGUAUUUUCCGGUAGACGAUGGGGAUGCGUUCCAUUAGAUAGUAGGCGGGGUAACGGCCCACCUAGUCAACGAUGGAUAGGGGUUCUGAGAGGAAGGUCCCCCACAUUGGAACUGAGACACGGUCCAA
rnacentral:rRNA from 1 species